CCCUAAGAAACAAUAAAAAUAAGUCAACGUAAAACCCAAUCAAGUAACACCAGUCAAUUUGCUCAGAGAAGUCGUGUGAUUAUGAGAGCCCUGAUGGAGUUUGCUGAUGGAGUUUGCAAGACGACCUUUAGGAAGGAUGGGAUGGAGAAGUUGCCGAUGGGGGAUGUGACGCUGCAGUCAUCGGCAAGACGCGCUUGCACGAACAAUCCCACGAAGUGGGAACAUGUCUACGCAUGCGCUUUGCGGUGCUCCUUCCGAGUACGCCAGAGAUGGUCCGCAGCACGACAGCAGGACGGCAGAAAAUAGUAUGGCCAGCAUCUAAAAUCAUAGGCAAUCUCGAGGGUUUGAC